rnacentral:lncRNA from 1 species
GAAUCAACUUGUGAGUCCCCAGAUGGAUGCCUCACCACGGAGCCUGCCAGCUGACCUCGCCCUGUCUGAGCACCUUCUUGGGUAGAGCAUGCCAACAGUAUUUGCUGAACUAAUGGCUGAAUCCGUCACAGCAUCAGAAGCACAGAUAGUAAAAAGGCACAGUGAAUACAGAUAGUUACCUCCUGGGUUCAAGUGAUUCUCCUGCCUCAGUCUCCCGAGUAGCUGGGAUUACAGGCACCACAUCCAGCUAAUUUUUUGUAUUUUUAGUAGAGACGGGGUUUCACCAUGUUGGCUAGGCUGGUCUCUAACUUCUGACCUCAGGUGAUUCACCCACCUCGGUCUCCCAAAGUGUUGGGAUUACUGGGGAGAGCCACCAUGCCCAGCCAAUAACUUCUAUUAUUAAAAAUUUAUUAAAUGUGCCCUUAUUAAAAUUAUUUUCUCUCUAUUAAUGUGUGCAUAGAAGAGUAUCUAGAGUGAUGUUCACCAAACAGUAAAUCCUUUGGCUGCCAGUUAAAGACAACAAACAAGGUGCAUUUCCUGGAAUGUCCUGUGCUUUUCAGUAGAAGUCACUAUUUUAACAUGACUUUUAUGUUUAAUAACUCUUUAUAAAGAAACUUUUGGUAUAAAUUGGUACAAUGUUUUUGAAGUAGAAUGUGAGAGUAUGUAUCAAAGUCUUGGGGAAAAAAAACCCAUCUCUUUCAUUAAGUAAUUUCAGGGCUAUAAAUCAUUCCCAAGAAAUUCUGAUAAGUAAAUUUUCUCAUUUACUUAUCUUACUUAUAUAAGAUACUUACGUAUCUUUUUUUUUUUGAGACGGAGUCUCACUCUGCUGCCCAGGCUGGAGUGAAGUGGUGCCAUCUCAGCUCACUGCAAGCUCCGCCUCCCGGGGUUCAGGCCAUUCUCUCAUCUCAGCUUCCCAAGUAGCUGGGACUACAGGUGACUGCCACCAUGCCCGGCUAAUUUUGUUUUUGUAUUUUCAGUAGAGAAGGGGUUUCACCGUGUUAGCCAGGAUGGUCUCGAUCUCCUGACCUCAUGAUCCGCCCACCUUGGCCUCCCAAAGUGCUGAGAUUACAGGUGUGAGCCACCGCACCUGGCCACUUAUGUAUCUUACUUAUUUACUUUGUUUACAUAAGCUAUUAUAGAUAAGUAAAUAAGUAAAUGAAUAAAAUUUUUAAGUGCACCAAUUACUACAAGAAAGAAUGUAAGUAGGCCGGGUGCUGUGGCUUAUGCCUAUAAUCCCAGCACUUUGGGAGGCCAAGGCUGGCAGAUCACUUGAGGUCAGGAGUUUAAGACCAGUCUGACCAACAUGGUGAAACCUCAUCUCUACCAAAAAUACAAAAAUUAGCCAGGUGUGGUGGUGCACAUCUGUAAUUCUAGCUAUUUGGGAGGCUGAGGCAGGAGAAUCACUUGAACCUAAGUAGCAGUGGUUGCAGUGAGCUGAGAUCACAUCACUGCACUCCAGCCUGGGUGACAGAGUGAGACUCCAUCUCAAAAAAAAAAAAAAAAAAAUGUAAGUAAGAUGGCAGGGCACGGUGGCUCACGCCUGUAAUCACAGCACUUUGGGAGGCCAAGGCGGGCGGAUCACGAGGUCAGGAGAUCGAGACCAUCCUGGCUAACACGGUAAAACCCCGUCUCUACUAAAAAUACAAAAAAUUAGCUGGGCGCGGUGGUGGGCGCCUGUAGUCCCAGCUACUCAGGAGGCUGAGGCAGGAGGAUGGCAUGAACCUGGGAGGUGGAGUUUGCAGUGAGCCGAGAUAGCGCCACUGCACUCCGGCCUGG